GUUCCGAUAGUUCAGGGGUUAGAAUAUGGGAUUGCAAAUCCCAGGGUCGUGGGUUCAAUUCCCACUCGGAACU
rfam:Rhodotorula sp. JG-1b unplaced genomic scaffold RHOSPscaffold_6, whole genome shotgun sequence.